CCUACGGGAGGCAGCAGUGGGGAAUUUUGCGCAAUGGGGGCAACCCUGACGCAGCAACGCCGCGUGAGUGAUGAAGGCCUUCGGGUCGUAAAGCUCUGUCAGAGGGGAAGAAAUGCAGGUGGUGAACAACCAUUCUGUUUGACGGUACCCUCAAAGGAAGCACCGGCUAACUCCGUGCCAGCAGCCGCGGUAAUACGGAGGGUGCGAGCGUUGUUCGGAAUUAUUGGGCGUAAAGCGCGUGUAGGCGGUUUGUUAAGUCUGAGGUAAAAGCCCCGGGCUCAACCGGGGAAGUGCAUUGGAUACGGGCAGACUUGAGUACGGGAGAGGAGAGUGGAAUUCCCAGUGUAGGAGUGAAAUCCGUAGAUAUUGGGAGGAACACCGGUGGCGAAGGCGGCUUCUGGGGCCGUUCCUGACGCUGAGGCGCGAAAGCCAGGGGAGCGAACGGGAUUAGAUACCC
rnacentral:rRNA from 1 species